UGAGCCACCCAGGUGCCCCGGAUGUUAACUUUUAAAGGUAACAGCCUUGUGAUCACUUAAAGCAAAAGACAUGUGACUCAGAAGUACAUUAAUAAACACAUCCAUCUUCAUGCAGACAUCAUGCAUAGAGUCUACAGUAGGAGCAGGCCUUGGAUUGCUACAGACACAGCCAGCCUCCUCUCAGAUAGGGGUCGGCUGGAGGGGAGUAGCCUGAGCCAAAGGCCCAGAGAACGUUCUGCCUCCUUUCUCUUCCAUCUCAGCCAGGCAAGGGCUAAAUAUGGGCACUGGUGAGGAUGAGUGUGGCUGGGGAGGGGAAGUGGACUGCUGAGUCAAAGGAAAAUCGUGCAGAAAGGGCAGAUUCCUUUGCUGUACCCUCAUCUACGCCUUCCAGCCCACCCCCAAGGUGCCACUUUCGGGGCCACAGAGGUAGAAGUUGGAGGAUCCCAUCUUCUGAGAGCAUGGCAGCCCCACAGGAAGACGGGGAUGCCUUGUUGGAGGUGGAAUGCUGACCCAGCCACCUGGGACCCUGAGAGGCAGGCCUGAGGAGACUGUGCUCCACAGUCCUCUGGGGCCUUCAGUAAAGACUGAUACCAAAUGACUUUUAAUCCAAAGUUGAGAACCUCAAGAACCCUUUUUAGUUAUCAUUCUCUCCUGAGCUUCAACUCUUACUGGUUCCUUUCACUCAAGUCAACAAAUGUACCUAAACUGUUAUCCGACAACACCGAAACCUUCCCAUACCACUUGGUUCUACAGUUUCCAGAAUGUAAUGAAUUACAUCUGUAUCUUGUCACAUGCUGUGCUUCCAUUUGGAAGACCCCUUUUCCUGAUAGAACCCUUCACCUGAUGGUCCUACUGUAUCAGAUUUCAGCUCUGUUCUACCUCCUCAAAUUAGAGCGUGGAGGACUCCUGCCUCCAUUCUCAGAAGCUGUGACUGCUUCAGUUCCCUCCCUUGGACAAUGGCAGCAGUAAGACCCCUACUCAGAGUGGCUGUGAGGACGCCUUAGUGCUCAGCAUGGGGCUUGACCCAGCUCUUGACUUCUGGAAGCCGCAGGAUUCCAGCAAUACUUGGUGACACUGGUGAGGAAAGGAGUCCCUCUGCCUCCUGCUGGCCACAAACAGAAAAGCUGAGAUCCUCUGGCUUAUGACCAAAGGUCAUGUUUCUCCUUCAGAAGACUUGAGAACUUGGGAAGGAAUGGAAGACUAAAAGGGAAAGGGAAGAGGGGGCCUCCUUUUGAGCUUGGCCUAUACUCAGCUCUAGGUGUUAAAUAAGCUAUUUAGAUCAAAUUCCUUAUUUUGUGAGCCCAAACCUGAGGUCGCUGCAUCUUCUACAUUAGCUACAGAAACAAAGGGAUGGACAAGAGUCCGGAAAAGCCCUGAUCUCUACGCCAGCAUCCCUGCUGCCUCUCCCUGAGUGAUGGAAGCAGGGAGCCCGGUCACAUCCCGUAUUAAGGGUCCCCAUUUCUUAGAACUCAGGGCCCCACACCAUUCUCCCCUGAAUGCUGUCUUCAGUUUCAUUUUCUUCCCUUUUCCCAAACCCCAAUAAAGCACACCAACUGCUUUGGAAUA